UGGCGCCCAGCCAGCUACCAUCAGAAUUAGCUCAUUGUUCAAUAUAACCAGCACAGGCAACCAAAGCCUGCGAGAAAAAGGAGGGAGGGAGAGAGAGAGAGAGACCCCCCUCCCCGAGCUCUUGCUGUUGCCCCCACCCCCUUUUUCUUUUCUCCCACCCUCCCUUUGCAAGGCUGCCUCUGAAAGAGGUGCAGUCAUUCCUACCCACACCCCCUUGCCCAACCCCCCUCUCCCCCCCUCUCCCCUUCUAUAAAUUCCCUGCUGUAGCAUGCUGCCCUUUUUGAAUCCACAUUUGUGUUUCAGAUCAUGUAGAAAGGACAGAAAGUGAGGAGGGAGCGGGGGCUUUUGUCUAGUGUUCUCCCUGUGCUGCUCAAAAGAACGUGCAGCCCUAAGUCUUAAUUGAACCUGAGAAUGGUUUAUCAUCCAAGGUUCACAGAAAGCCAGAAGCACAUUCCAAUCAGCCAUGAGCAUGGAGGGUUUCUUCAGGACAACCUACCCAUCCCAAAGGAAGUCAAUCGCAAAAAGAACGACAAGGUGGAAGCUCCGCUCCUGGCAUCAGCAAAUCGCUAUGGACACCAUUUCACCAAAAUAAAUUACCUCUCCUCUUUUUAAUCAUAACUCCUCAUUUGUAUUAAAUAUGAUGUAUGGGUGUUGAUGAGGUCAUCAUGGUGUCAUAUAUCGGGAAUUGUUUCUGUGUAAAUCAUACGAAGAAAAUUACGGGACUCUGAGCCUUUCUAUAGAGAAUUACAGUGGGGGGGAAAUACGUAUCAUGAAACCGGUUUAUAACCAUUCUGACUCAAGUCAAAGCUCUCAGAAUUUCACACUGUGAAUCCAAGUUUACAAACUUUACAGGUGGGCCUUCAGGCCUGGUUCUACCACAACAAUGUCUUCCACUAAUCAAAACUCAACAGACCGCAUGCAACUGGUAACUUUGCUGCCUCUUCAUUUCCAUGAUUCCGAACUGCUUCUUGCAGAGGCUGAGAGUCCCCCUUUUAUUUCAUUUUAGAUGUAACAAGCCUAGUAGUUUAUUUUCAUCGAUUGUCUGUAUAUCUCUAUAUUUUAUCCAUGUACUCUUUUGAUGUAUAGAAGUAGUAUGAAACUCAUGGUUUCCUUGUGGUAAGUGACUGAGAUGCUGCCACGGGAUUUGAGACACUGAUGAAUGGUGCUAUUUUGGACUUUAAACGUGCUCCUUGGCAAGGUAGCUCUGAUGGAGUUAUUUUUAAUUUCCAUGUUCUAAGAAGGUGUUGGUACUUCGUUCUCGUUCUUUAGACUGGACUGACUUGUUUCCUUGUGUCUUCAGUGUGGCUUUCUUAUUCAGUGUUGUAGGGUGAGUAAUUACUAAUACAGUAAGUGCGGAACCGAUUCCCACCUGGGUGUGCUCACAAACUUGAAAUGGUAAGUGGGAGCAAUCACAAAACUGUAAUUUACUACGAGUUCCUUUCUGCCAUCCUGCUUAUAUCAUUUGGAUAAAGAAUAGCAAUAAUUUUCAUACGGUCUUUAGGGGUCUUCUUAAUGUUUUUUGUCUUUUUUAUUUACUAGGAAGGCUUUUUUUUCCAAAGGGAGGGUUAGCAUGUUUUUACAUGUCCUCUUAAAAUCAAUAAGAAUUGGCUGGUUUCCCCCCUCCCCCCAAAAACAUAAUCGUUCCUUUAAAUGUAUAAAAUGACAAACUCUUAAAAAAGCAAUGAAUAGAAUUCCACAGUCUUUCCAAUGUGUGGGUUUUACAUUUUUGUUCUUGCUCCCAGGGUAUUAGGAAACAAAAUACAAUACAAAAUUGUACCAUCUCCUCAUGGAAUGUUGUUGUGUUAGACACAGUCUGGAAGCCCACCUUGAUUUUUUUUAUAUAACUCUGUCUUUCAGCUCUUCCUUUAACUGGGCAGGUUUUGACCUGAACUGUUUAGCUUCUGACUGUUAAAUACCAAUGCAUGCACUGCAAUUCUUAGUUUUCUUUCCACUUCCUCCUCCUCUUCCUCCUCCUCCUUCCCUAUUCUCGUGCGCUUUCUUUCUAGUAGACUAGAUAAGCGUCAAUUGUGCUGUAUAUACAUAUAGCAAGAAUCAGUAUUCAGCAGUUGUGGCAUUUAUGUAUAGUUGCAGUUGUGUACUGCUGAAAAUGUAGGCUUUUGUAACAGUGUGAUCUUUAAUAAUGCACUACAAGUACCCAAUGUAUUUUAGCUCUUUUAGUAGGAUUUGUUCAAUAAAUAUGCAAGCUCUAAGAGUAACUAUAACA